rnacentral:lncRNA from 1 species
UAGUUUUAUUUCCAUUAACAAUAUGCACAGUCAGCUCGCAUCACACACAAACAUUUGGGUAUGUGUCCUUGAACAAUAAAACGAAACUUCCGAAAAAUGUUGGCAUACUUUUUCUCUCCUUUGGUACAUGUGCCGCACUACUCGUUGAUGCAAUCCGCACUGCAAGACAUAGACCAAAUAAAAGUUAACCGGGGCACAAUUUUUGCAGAAAGUUAACUCAUGUACAAUUUUCUUUUACAAAGUGAACUCCUCUAUACUAUGCUAUAACCAUUUGAAAGUAAACUAAGGACUGCAUGCAAGAACAACUAAACUGAUGCUAAAUGUAAAUGUGUCCCGCACAACAAUGAACAUUUUUUUGCCCAAAUAAACUUAACUUAUUAUAUAUUUUUCGCAAAAAGAAUUGUCUUGCUUCUACAAAAAAAACACACCAACAGUGGAAAUUCUUAACAACAACGAUGGCUAGAGGACCUGGCAAAAAUGGAGUAAUGCACACAACGGAGCUGAAACUGAACCUAACUUUUUGCACCGCACGCACUGAACAUUUGUUCCAAAAUCAAGCACCGCUGUAUCGCAGAGUGCACUGCAUCAACACAUGCCACCAUAGAGAUAAAAUAAACUGCAGAAAUAGCACGAAGUGAAAGCAAAUAC